rnacentral:ncRNA from 1 species
UGUCUUCGGGGCGGGGUGCAAGUCCCCACCGGCGGUGACGUGUUCUUUGCACGAAGCCCGCGAGUUCCAAUUUUUGGUACAGAUCCGGUGUGAUUCCGGAGCCGACGGUAUAGUCCGGAUGAAAGAAGA